UACGGAGGGUGCAAGCGUUAUCCGGAUUUACUGGGUUUACAGGGGGCGUAGGUGGCUUUGUAAGUCAGUGGUGAAAUCUCCGGGCUUAACCCGGAAACUGCCAUUGAUACUAUAAGUCUUGAAUUAUCUGGAGGUAAGCGGAAUAUGUCAUGUAGCGGUGAAAUGCUUAGAUAUGACAUAGAACACCAAUUGCGAAGGCAGCUUACUAGGCUGUAACUGACGCUGAGGCACGAAAGUGUGGGGAUCAAACAGG
rnacentral:rRNA from 1 species